CAAGUACUGAUCUCAGCAGAUUGAGGAGAGCACUGCAGUGGUCACCACGCAGUCUGCCGAGGUUGGAGCUGC
rfam:Macaca mulatta chromosome 16, whole genome shotgun sequence.